rnacentral:siRNA from 1 species
AGCGCAGAAUCUCCUCUCCAAGUA